UCGUCGUUACAGUGAAGGGCUAUCAACAUUUGAAACAAUAACAAACAGUCAACAGCAAAUGGAAUGUAAAUGUCUUCUGAGGAUGCAGAAGAUCUUUUACAUGAUUCAGUUAUUGAAUUAUUUGACUUAUCUGAUUAUUCUUCAACUUUGCCAAACGAUGCUAAAGCUAAGCUUGAUGCUAAGCUUAAUGAAGUACAGUGUGACUGUCCUUACGUCAUAGAUCAAGAAGUUAAAGGUUUUUACAUUAUUCGUCAUUGGUUUUCCAACUUUGCAGAAGCAAAAGAAUGUCUUGAACUGGAAUUGAGCGAAUUAAGAUAAAGUCAUGAUCACCUUUCAGUGGAAAACCACAGGCUAAGUUGCAGAAUUUUCAUUCUUUAGAGAUGAAAAUGAUAAGCUUCAACUGAAUUUUGACCGUGAAAAUAAUGGUUAUUGAAAGAGAUCUAAAAGCAAGAGGCGGUAUGAAGUUCAUGGGAAGUCAAACUUUCUAAACUCAAUCGCCAGAGAAGAAAUUACAGCAAAAAAGGCUUCAAAGGUCCCUUCCCUGGUAGCACACUCCCAUCCAUCGGUCAUCCUAUGGACGUCGAGAUAUCCUAUUUAGUUCCGUCCCGUCUAUGACGUAGAAAAGACUUCCUUUGGAUGACCCUUUUACGAUGGCUUUAGGCUAUCUUCUUUUGGAUGUCCUCUGGAUGUACGGAUUCGAUGCGCUGCUACAUACAUUUUGAUAUCCCAAAUCUGACCUUUAUCGUCCAUCCUAUGGAUAGACAAAAUUUACGUCUGUUAGACGUCCCUAUAAAUGUAUCCAUUGGAUGAACAAUGACGACGAGAACUUAUGAAAUUUAACCUCUCCUUUUGGCUUAAUAAAUCACGCAGUACAUAAUAA